AUUGAACGCUGGCGGCAGGCCUAACACAUGCAAGUCGAGCGGUAGCACAGAGAGCUUGCUCUCGGGUGACGAGCGGCGGACGGGUGAGUAAUGUCUGGGAAACUGCCCGAUGGAGGGGGAUAACUACUGGAAACGGUAGCUAAUACCGCAUAACGUCGCAAGACCAAAGAGGGGGACCUUCGGGCCUCUUGCCAUCGGAUGUGCCCAGAUGGGAUUAGCUAGUAGGUGGGGUAACGGCUCACCUAGGCGACGAUCCCUAGCUGGUCUGAGAGGAUGACCAGCCACACUGGAACUGAGACGCGGUCCAGACUCCUACGGGAGGCAGCAGUGGGGAAUAUUGCACAAUGGGCGCAAGCCUGAUGCAGCCAUGCCGCGUGUAUGAAGAAGGCCUUCGGGUUGUAAAGUACUUUCAGCGGGGAGGAAGGUGUUGAGGUUAAUACGUUGGACUCAUGACGGUACCGUAAGAAUAAGCACCGGCUAACUACGUGCCAGCAGCCGCCGCGG
rnacentral:rRNA from 1 species